AGACAAUUUUAGGCAUAACCAAACAUACAACCGCAUGUGCCCCGAGUCAUCCGGCCUCAUGUCUGGCAGUCAAUCACAACCACGACAACAACAACAGCUUCCGCAUGCUGAUGCAGUCGUUUCGUAUUAAGGGCACAGCUUAAACAAAGACGUCAGCUUCCACCCACCCCGCCAGCAGACGACGAAGACACGCCACGCCUCCAGCGGCCGACAGUACCCCAGAGGACGGUCAUCAACGUGACGCCCGCAGAGAAGGACCAAGGAGUGUCCUAUGCGGAGCUAAGGUACGACAUCCCCGGCCACACUGUGAAGACCGUUGACACGGAGCCGGACUCGCACUACGACAAACCCCUGCCUGGCGUGCACCCCCUCAUCAACACCUCCCCCACGUCGGAGGGCAUCUCCAAACACCCGCCGUCACCUGAGGGAGGUACGGCAUCAGCAUACCAGCAUCCUUACACAAGGGGUUGGGGAAUUCAGUGGCAAUAGGCAAUGUUAGGGGCAGAUAUACCCAAGCAGGAAAGCCAUUAAUCACUGUGUAGUUACCAGACAAUAACAGGGAGGGGUCAAGACGGGAAGUGGAGGCUAUGUAAGCUAGGUUUUGAGACUCUGCAAAAGUUAUGCCUUAGGCAGUGAUCUCAUUAUAUGAGCUUUUUCCUGUGGCAGCUAUUUGCUUUGUUCCCUUCGCCACUUCUAUAUUGAUCUCUUGUUCUGUCUGCAGUAUGCAUUAUUGUGUCUAAACCGUAUAAGAUCUAUGAGAGCAGUGGUCUGCUGUGCUUAACUACUGGAGACUAAAUGCUACAUAUUGCUACAGAUAACCACCUUCUGCAUCUUGUCUGUAUUGUCUAUAUACACUGCGUUAUUAUACCGCUCCGAGGAUGUUUGUGUGAUGUCAUAUGCACUGCUGUGUAAUACAAGUAUUAUACCACUCCAGGGAUGUCUGUGUGUGAUACUUACACUACUUAGUAAUACAAAUAUUAUGCUACUCCAAGGAUGUCUGUGUGGUAUAUGCCAUAUGUGAGAUGUGUGCAAGCAUACAUUCACUCAUCAGAUGUGUCCCCUAUGGAGAGAUAGGUGCUGAAUCAGCAGUAUUACCACAAGCAUACAUUCAGUCAUCAUACAUU